GACGAACGCUGGCGGCGUGCUUAACACAUGCAAGUCGAACGGAAAGGCCUGCUUUCCCUUGUGGAUUGCGGGUGCUCGAGUGGCGAACGGGUGAGUAACACGUGAGUGAUCUGCCCCCAACUUGGGUAUAAGCCUGGGAAACUGGGUCUAAUUCCCGAUAGGACUGCAGGGUGGUGCCUGUGGUGGAAAACGAUUUUCUAGUGGUUGGGGAUGAGCUCGCGGCCUAUCAGCUUGUUGGUGGGGUAAUGGCCUACCAAGGCGGCGACGGGUAGCCGGCCUGGGAGGGUGGACGGCCACAUUGGGACUGAGAUACGGCCCAGACUCCUACGGGAGGCAGCAGUGGGGAAUAUUGCACAAUGGGCGGAAGCCUGAUGCAGCGACGCAGCGUGGGGGAUGACGGCCUUCGGGUUGUAAACUCCUUUCGACCGCGAGGAAGCCACCUGGUUGGAAGGGUGGUGACGGUAGUGGUAGAAGAAGCACCGGCUAACUACGUG
rnacentral:rRNA from 1 species